CUUGGUACCUCUUCUUCUCCCUCAUUCUUGGGGAACUCAGCACCCAUGGGAGGGGUCUAACAUUCUGACAUCAAGGGUCUUAAGCUACCAACUCUUAAAGAUUUCCUAUGCAACUACCAACAUUAUUUGGCAGCAUGGUGAGGAAAUCAGAACAACUUUUCUAAACAUGAACUUUAGAAUGAGGAAAACUAUCCAGUAUUUGCUAAUUUGCAGCAUUCUCAGAGACUUUAUACACAAAUAAUGAGAAUCAACUGGGAUCUUAGACUUUAGAAGAAGAAGAAAGAGCAACUGGUCCUCAAUGGAUUGGGUGAUGCCCACCCACAAAGGAGGAAGCAAUCUAUUGAUUCCACCAAUCCUAAUAUGAAUGUCAUCCAGAAACACUUCACAGACAUCCUUGGAAAUGUUUAGAGGCACCUGGGUGGCUCAGUCGGUUGAACAUCUGCCUUCAGCUCAGGUUAUGAUCCCAGGGUCCUGGGAUUGAGCCUAGCAUCAUGCUCCCUGGUC
rnacentral:lncRNA from 1 species